CACUCAGGUUCUCUGUAGAUGUCGCGAUGGAGGAAUGAGCCAAUUAGGAAGCUUUCCCUGAUGUCAAUAUCGGGGAGUUCGACGAACAUUCCCUCGAUCAAGUGACGAGCUUCUCUAAGGCUGACCAUAGAUUGCUUGCUGAUAUGCUAUCGGAGUAAGCACAUCGUGAGGCUACAGGACCAACUAUUGAGGU
rnacentral:pre_miRNA from 1 species